CAAGGAGUGUUUUACUUCUUGCUCUACAUUUCUAUGCCCUUUGACACAAACAACUUUGAAUCUCUGGAGAAAAAAAAAAUGAAUAUGCAUGAGGUCUGAGGGAGUGGACCCGACUCUUCUCAUGCUUAAAUUGCAGGACUUGCUCUCGCCUUUCCACCAUCAAAAGCCGAACUGAAAAGUUAAGACGUGCUUCAAGGAAGAUAAAUAUUCAGAGAUGGAAAACAUCAAUGACAUCAUUCCUUUCGCCAAGGACAUGCUUAGACAGAGGCCCACUAGCAGCAUGUUAAAGAUCUACAUGCUCGGCUCCACUCUGGCUAUCCUUGGAAUGGUUGGCGGCAUGGUGGAGAUGAUUCUCCUGCCCUUCUUGAAGGAUCGGACCAUAGAGGAAGAACUAGCAGAACUCUUAUUUGAGAAGAAGACAAGGAACUCCUCUAUUUGUACUGAAGCUGAGGAGGUGAUCAGGGCCAUACUGUCUGAAGCGAAGGUCAAACAUCCAGGGACCGGUUCACAGAGGAGCUUAGCCAACCGUUUACACGCAUCCUAGGGAGACGAUCCUGCAAUAAAACAGACACUGCAGACCGGGUUGUCGAUGGCAGUGGAGACGAAUCCCUUUUAUGCGUUAAUUUAUUUCUCAUGUGGUUAAAAAUGCAGCUUGCUGCUGUUGCUGGCAAAAAAGAGAACGCUGGACUUUUAGAAUGAAACUGCAGGAUACAGUAACGUCAGGCUGCUGGGCAGCAGAUUGUCAAAGAUGACUUUAUCGGAUGAACAAGGAAGAAAUUUGAUAUGUUUUAAAAGUGUUUUGUGUUGUAAUAAACUGCUUUUCUCCUGCAAA